rnacentral:lncRNA from 1 species
AGGAAGAAGGAGGUGAGAUGCAGGGAGAACUGCUCUAACAAAGGUUGUUGCAACCAUAGGGAUAGAGUCAUCGAAGAUUCCUUGGUAUGCUACUUUGUUUUAGAGAGAUAACAAGCUUCCAUUAUACAUGUAUAAAUAUGAUUUAAUUGAAAUCUUAGUAGAUUUAAUUGAAAUCUUAGUAGGCAAUGAAGCGUUAAAUAU